rnacentral:lncRNA from 1 species
GACGCUAUGACGUGAGGCUGACAAAGAGGCCGUGCAGCAAUACAAAACUACGAUAAUUCAAUUAUAUUUAUAAUUUUAAAAUUAUUUAUUCUUCAUUAUAAGAAAAAAUAUAAUUCAACUAUAUUUAUAAUAGAAUAGAAAUACCGAAACGUCUUCGUAGACAUCAAGAAAACAUCAACACGAAAAGAUCAAUCUACAAAUAGUAUUAUUACAAAUAGUAAUAAUUGGUGUAGGCCUUAUGCUUGAAUAGUGAAAAGAACAGAAAACUCCUUUGUACACCAAGUUCUACUCAUCUGCCUCCUUUAAAAUUUCCUCCACUUUAACAAUCCCACUUGCAUUCAGACUUCUCCAACAUGCAAUACCUCUUAUUGAGGGUUCUAGAUAAUUAUCUAAUGCAGCAAAAUCCUUCUUGUAUUGAGAUUUUCAUUCAAUAGCUUGUAUAGCAAAAGAAAGAUGGAAAAGUUUGCUCGUCAACCUCUAAAAAUGAUGCAGACAAACAACACGAGUCCAAGAAAAAUUGUAAAUUAACUGAAAUCAUACCUGGCCCAACUGAAAUAAGUGCCAUUCAGCCUCGAAAGAUAGUAAGGAAACGACCUGCUGUAGGCUCAGAUCUUGGCCCAAAAGCUCAACCCUGACAGAGCAAUAGGAAACUUAGACGUACUGAAUCACCAGUAGAAACUUCCUCAAAUGUUCCGCCUCAUGCUCUUCACUCAGCGGCAAAUGUUAUCACUUGAGAGGAGACCUAUAAGCAGAAAAUGAUCAUGCCUUUUGUAUUCAAUCCACAGAAUACACUAUAUGGCUAACUUGGUUUCAGUUUGUGUCUUGUAUAGCAUAAUUAUUUGUUUGGUGUCAAGUGUCAAAGAAUGGCAAUAAAAUGCUGCACAACUUGGUAUAGAUCUCUGACCUUUCUCAGAGUUCAUACUGUUUGUCACAACAUAUGUGCAGUAAUGAUUUAUGAUGUCUUGUUGGGUGCAUGAGGCCUAAAUCUUCGUAGAGUAUAACAAUCUUGCUCGAGUCUUGCUAUAAAACCAUUAUUUUUUAACCUAUCCUUCUGAUGUAUCAUGAUACUUAAAAAAAUUAAGCCUUCUGCUUCAGGCAACCCCAUCAGUAGUCAAGAAAUCUACGGGUUCUAAAUUAUCAUCAUAAAUUUCAUUAUAGGUUUUCAAGGCCAAUAUUCCUUAUAGUGUGUGAGCAGAAUGAGUGCAUCUAGGUUGUUUGCACUGAGAAUGACAAUCAUCUAUUCAUCCUGAAAGGCCCUGCACAACCCCUAAAUGAGUCCACAUUUUAUUUUCUAAAGGAUUCUUGUUGGAUUAGACCAUGCAUGAUUGCGUUCAAAAAGAUGUAAAUUAAUACUACAUAGUAUAUCCACCUACAUAUAUCUAUUUGGAAAGACAUAAAAAUGCAUUUGUAAUCUUGCGAGGAGUAAAAUAAUACUUGGUAUUUUUCAAACAAAACUUAAACUUCAAAUAUAUCACAACACUUGGUAUUUUUCUCUGUGCUAUUAAGAAGGCGUUUAAUUUUUGAGUGAAGUUACACGGGGCACAUAUUCUCUCCGGGUGGAUCAUAAAAUGAGAUUUUUCUAAAAAUUUUAAAUUAUGAUAAAAUUGGUUCAGAUCUUAAUAAACCACAUAAGCCCUUGCUGCCUUGCACACAUGUAUACCAUCUCAUAGGGAAACCUAAAAAAGUUAUUUCCACAUAAAGAAUAGUCAUGCCCCUUUCAUAUAUAUAUAUAUAUAUAUAUGGGUUGCACUCCACACAGAACAAUUUUAAAAAAAGAACAACACAGACACUAUCAUAACACUUUAUUUUUCAUAAAAAAUGAUUUGUUAAGAUUAUAAUUACAUAGUUAAACACUAACUAAACUUAAUAUAUAAUAUUUAACAUCCAAACUCAUCCAAAUUAUUAAUAUGAAAUAUUAUAGAAUCCAGAAUAGAAUCCAAAACAGAAUCCUGAAUAGAAUCUCAUAUAUAUUCUUUACAUGAUUAAUAUCACAUAGAAUCAUGUUAUUUUUAAUUCAUAAUUGUUGUUAAACAUGUUAAAUACUAUUAUUAUUCGUAAUAAAAGGUUAAUUAGCUUAAAAUUAGAAUUUAAUUCAAGGUUUAGAUGAGAUUCUAUGUUUGAUUCUAAGUAUUCUUAUAUAUAUAUAUAUAUCAACAAAACCUACCGUAAUUAUAAACAAUAAAACUGUGUUAAGAAACACACCUAAGCAACUUUGUUAUAAAAAAUGCAAAUUUAUCUAUAAUUCAAGUGAUGCCCAACAUUGUAAACUGAAAUCCGUAGGCUUGCAUGACUACAUAAAUGUAACUUUUUCUUGGGUUGUUCAUCUUCUAAAUAAUUAAACAACGUCCCUCAAUUUUUCACAUCCUUGUCAUUCAAAAUAAAAGAGGAAAUAAGCUUGGAGUAGUUUGACCAUCAAAUUUUACAUUUGUAAUAGCAUCAAAGAGAUGCAUAUGCGGGGAAGGACAUAGCUGAAGUGGACUCUUUCCAUUUACCUUGAUGAUUUACUUAAUUAGUAGCCUUGCCAUGGCAAUCUCCUUUUAGAGAGAGAAAAAUUAGUUUCUACGUCCGGGAUACAUCAUCAUCUCUUCUACUCCUAAUUUAACACAUACAUGCUUGUAUUAGAAAUGAUCACCGAGAAGUAAUUAGUAUUAAAAAUUUUACACAAAGCAUAAACAGUAUAAUUAUAUGAUAGUAAUACAUAGCAAGGUAUCUAGGACCAAAAAUCAUGCAUCUUAUUAAAAAAGAAACAUGAAUGAUUACCAGAAAGAUUCAGAUACAAAACCCUUCUUUUUUGAACCUAUUUCACAUAGACUCUGCUUCAAGAUAGAGAUUGUUCUACUUGUGAAAUUUUGGAAAUAGAAGAGACCAAGAAAACACUAAAGAAGGCAAUUCAAGGCAACUGCAGUAUACUUACACGCUAUAUUAUCUUCAUCAGAUAUAAUUCUAUGAUCCGACACAUUAACAUCAUAUAAGCUCUAUGAUAAAUUAGGAGAACUAUGAUAAAAAAAAAAAAAAAAUUAGCUGCAGAGCAUAUGGGCAAAUACUCUCUAUAAUCUUAUAAUUAUAUACAUAAUAAAAGUUACCAAUUAGAUAAAAAUGAAUAUCUUUAAUAGACUUAUCUGAAUAAGACAAAGUGUGCGAUCUAGAACUUUAAAUAGUAAAGUACGAAAGAAUGUUGUGGGCUACAACAAAAUAAUUAUUUAGUAAGAAAUAAGAAUGAUCAAAUAAAAAAGGAUCAGAAAUCGAUCAUAUGUUUUACCAUUCUAUGCUAAAAAAACAGAGUUAAUACCAGACCCAUGGGAACUCGUUUGAGACCGCUGUAGCAUUAUUGAUUAGUUACUGGCCAAUAGCAAGGUAUGUCUUAUAUUGAGUAGAAACACUUUCGACACUAACCUCAGGAUACAUUUUCUUCGGUGUUUGAAUAUGUUGCAUGACGUAAGGCAGGCUGUUUUGAUACUUUACUGUAUUGGUCAUUAU